rnacentral:rRNA from 1 species
UACAGAGGGUGCAAGCGUUGUUCGGAAUCAUUGGGCGUAAAGGGUGCGUAGGCGGCGCGGUAAGUCGGAUGUGAAAUCUCGGAGCUUAACUUCGAAACUGCAUUCGAUACUGCCGUGCUUGAGGACUGGAGAGGAGACUGGAAUUUACGGUGUAGCGGUGAAAUGCGUAGAUAUCGUAAGGAAGACCAGUGGCGAAGGCGGGUCUCUGGACAGUUCCUGACGCUGAGGCACGAAGGUCAGGGGAGCAAACGGG